rnacentral:lncRNA from 1 species
UUUUUUUUUUUUUUUUUUUUUCCCUCUUCCAUUGUAAACAGUGCUUGAAUAAGCAUUCGUGUUUGUGCAUGAAUCUUUUUAUGCAUUUAGGAGUGUUUUCUUCGGAUUAAUGCAUAGAAGUGAAGUUACUGGGGAGAAGCGUAAACAUGUUUUUACUACUCUAGGUGUUCACUGACAAAUUCCUUCUCAAAACAGCCUUGAUGGUAACUUUGAUUAGCAAUGUAUGAGAACAUUCAUUUCCCUGGCCUGGAUUAUUAUUGUAUCUAUUUUGGGGGGGGGGCUAAUUCGCUAAUUUGCUCUGUGUUACUGUGCUCUUUGAUUAUUAAUGAAGAUAAAUGUGUUAAAAGUGGGAUCGCAUUUCUUCUUCCGAUUAGCUUCUUUUUUUCCCCUUUUUGUUCUAGUAACUAAUUCAGUGAGCAACUGCAGUUUUAUGCCCUCUGUCAUGAUUUAAUAGAUUUAGAUCACAGACAUCUUAGCUUUUAUGAAUUUUCAUAGCAAGGAGGUCCACGUUUUUAGUCUUUUUUUUGUUGUUGUUAAAGAGUUGCAAAUAUUUUUUAAUUUAAUUUUUUAAUUAUUACUCAAUGAAUUUAUCACACCUGUAGUUGUACAAUGAUCAUCACAAUCCAAUUUCACAGGAUUUCCAUCCCACAACCCAAGCACAUCCCCCCACCCCCUAAACUGUCUCCUCCGGAGACCAUAAGUGUUUCAAGGUCUGUGAGUCAGCAUCUGUUCUGCAAAGAAGUUCAGUCUGUCCUUUUUUCAGAUUCCACAUGUCAGUGAAGCCUUCUUGAAAUGUUCCUCUUCUUGCCCUCCCUUUCACUUGGGGUUAACGAUGCGUCACAUAGAAUUUACCAUCUUAGCCCUUUUUUGGGCGCACCAUUCAGUAGCGUUAAGUACGUCGCCUUGUACCAGUAUUAUUGUUUGUGAACCAUUCUUCUGAUUGUUAUUUUCAUACUAAUUUUGUGGCGACUGAUUGGCUUCUCUGGGUGUGGAAACAUACUGUCUGGGUGCAGAAGCUGGGAUUUCUGGUUUCUAUUGGGUCUCGGGUCGUUACUAAUAACUUAGGGCCUCUCAAUCAAUGAAUAUGGCCUGUUCGCAUUCAUUUCAAUUUUCCCUACACUUAUUUUGUGCUGUCAAAAUGGAUAGUCAUCUGCCACUUCGGACUUAUCACCUGGGGCCUCAGGAGAUGGUUUUGUGGUUUAUUGUUCUUUUCACCUGGACACGUGGCUCCUCAUGUGUGUUUGCCCAUGAGGAUGGGGGCUGUGUGACUGUCUCCUUUUCUGGGUGCCGGCGGAUGGCAUAGGGUGUGCAAAGGCUCUGCCUGAGAAGGCGCUUGACUUGCUCAAGGAGCAGAAGGGAGCCUGGUGGCCAGGCUUGAGGAGCAAAGGGGCAUCGGUGUUAGAUGAAGUUGCAGGGGCCGGAUACGGCAGGGGCCCCUUACCACUCAGGUUCCUACUGCCCUGUGGAUAGAACUCUGUUAAAGGCUUUUAACUGAAGCAGGACUAGAGGGAGCCACAUAGCCUUUUGUGGGUUUAUUUUAUUUUUUUUUGAAUCUCACCCUGGCUGCUGGAAGGGGAAAAAUGGAUUCUAGAAGAAUAGACCUAGCAAGCAGAUGUGUUGGGAUGUUGGAUGUAUAACCCAGAUGACAGAGUUAUCUUGAUUUAUCUCCCCUUUCUCAAUCUUUCUUUCUCUCUUUUAAACUAAAUCCACACUGUGACCAUCUGCAGCACAGCCGAAGGUCACCUGCCAGUGUACCUUGUAGAAAAGCAGGACUUAUCAGAACACGUCAACAUUAGAAGGAUGGGUUCAUUUACUGUGGUACUUCAACCAAGCAAGCUCGCUCGCCCCAGGCUAAAUAGAGUUUGCAUAUGAAUCUCAAAAGUUCCCUGUCAAUUCUCUUUGAACAUCCUGCUGAGCUUCAAAUGGACUUUAUAUAGGAUUUAGUGAAUUCAAUCCAUGUAUAUUUUUUGUACUUCCAAAAAAAACCUUGCCACUCAUCCACACCCUGCCUUGAUCAUUUUUUUUUGAGUCAUCAUGGGCAGAGUGGUUAAAAGAAUGGAGUCUGGAGCUGCAUCGUCUGCAUUCUUUUCCCAGUUGCACCUCUUACUAGUUCUGCACCUUGAGCUGAUUGCUUAACCUCCCUGAGCCUCCUUUUUCUCAUCUGUAAAUUGGGAGAAGUAAUAGUACUUAGCUCACAGGGCUGAUGUGAGGGAUAAGUGAAUUGAUAUAUGUUUAAAACACAGCCUAGUGCCACUGGCUGUUUGCUGUUAUUACAUGCUUAAAAAAGAUUUCUCUUACUCCAUAAAUGCCUUAAGGGUAGGGAAUCUUAUUCUUAUUCUGCAAUGCCUCCUACACAAUCUAUCAUGAUACCUUGGUGGGCAUUCAAUAAAUUAUUUAUUGAAAGAAAUUGAAAUUUUUUGAAAAAUCCAGUCGUCCAGUAAUAGCUGCCUUUGGUUUUGAAAUAAGGCUGUUAAAGCUUGUACAGGGUGGUUUCAGCGGUCAUAAAGUGAGGUCACAGAGUUUUUCUGGGAUGGUUUAGUAGCAGAGUAUACUGUUUCCUUGUUUAAUUACAUGGUUGGGACAAAAACCCACUAUGUACUUUUAAAAAGUAUAUUUUAAACAGAAUCAUACAAAGAUGAUGAAAUAGUGAGCCUUGGAACACUAAAACUCUUAAAACAUAAGCUUUGGCAUUUUAAAUUAAAAAGCAGCAACAGGAGUUUCCACUGUGGCUCAGUUGAAAUGACCCCGACUAGUAUCCAUGAGGAUGCGGCUUCCAUCCCUGGCCUCCCUCAGUGGGUUGAGGAUCUGGCCUUGCCAUGAGCUGUGGGCCUAGGUUGCAGCUAUGGCUCAGAUCCCGAGUUGCUGUGGCUGUGGUGUAGGCCCGCAACUACAGCUCGGAGUCGACCCCUAGCCGGGGAACUUCCAUAUGCUGUAAGUGUGGCCCUAAAAAAAGCAACAAAAACUAACUAUCAUAUUGGACAACAGUUUGCAUGCAAUAGAGUUAACCCUCUAAAUGAAAACACCCCAGAGUAGAAUUGGCCAGUUAUGUGUAUCGUUUUCUUUCAGAAUGCUAGUUUUAGGUUCCAUUCUGGAAUUUCUGACUUAAGUAUGAAUUUGACUUUUCCACAUGCACACCUAAGUUAAUAUGUACACGUAUAUGUAAUAGAAUUUCUGGGUAACACUUAGAAUUGAAUAAGAGAUGUCCAGGACUCAUAUUGGCUGUUGGUCUUGUAUGUUAACCUUUAGUACAUUGUGAAUUGUGGGUGAUAAUAUUGUUUCAGGUUUAACUAUUUGAAAUUGCAUAAGGUAGUAGUUUUAUUUAUGUGGUUUUAGAGAAAGGAUAACAUUAUCAUUGCACAUUUCAUUGAAAUUACUUUUAUCGAUCUGCUUGAGACUUUUAAUAGGAAUUUAGAGUAGUUCUAAAACUAGAGCACAGCCACAGCAAUGCCAGAUCCGAGCUGCAUCUGCAAACUGCACCACAUUUCACAGCAACGCUGGAUCCUUAACCACUAAGUGAGGCCUGGAAUCAAACCUGCAACCUUAUGAAUACUAGUCGGUUUCCACGAAGGGAACUCCUACAUUCUGAAUACUUUUUUGUAGGCCCAAGGCAGUGGGAAUAAAUACAAGGAAAGUUCGUUGUGGUCCUUAUUUCAAACAGCUUGCAAUUUUGCUGUGAAAAUAUGUAUGUGUGUGAAAUAAUUAUACAAAAUGGCACAUCCUUGAGGACUGGGUCAUAAGGUAUAGCUAAGUGGAUUCAGAGCAACAGGGUUGGCCUUCCAGAAGUAUUAAAGACUCUGGAGCUUGCCUGGAUUUGAAUAUUGGUUCCACCGCUUAACUUACUAGCAAUGUAAGUUGUAAUGCAACUUCUGUCUCAGUUUCCUCAUCUGUCAAAUGGGAAUAAUACUAUAACGUACCUACUGGGAUUGUUGACUUGUGGCCUUUCUAAAUAGGGGUGUCUUGAGAAAAUGAAGUCUUCAUGACCUCAGGCAUCUAUAUAAUGUCUUCUCUCCUGUGGAUCUGGAAUGGCAGACUAACUGUCCUGGGAGAUUUGAGAAAACAGGCAUCAGAUCAUUUUCCACGGGCAGUGGUUUCAAUAAGGAACCCUGGUUGAGGGUUAAGUGAGUAAUCAAUCAUGUGGAACAGGGUUCGAAUGUGUUAAUUAUCACUGUUGUCAGACUCUGAAAAAAGAGGAUUUAAUUAGAGGUAAAGGGUUUUUUUCAGGCUGAGAGAAGUUAAAGGUUAUCUGAGAGUGUUUUCCAUCUCAGACAGCUCUCCCAUUACUUUGUGUCUCUGGGACCAAGAUGGGACUUCGAAAAUCAACAACUUAGUUAUCCAAAGCACAGAGCAUUUGAAAGGAGGGUUAUGCAUAGGGGAAAAAAAUGCUUCUUAAAUAAGCAUCUUACCUGUAUCAAAGUCACAUGUAUGUAUAGACAUCAUCAUUUUGAAACGAUGAGAGAGAAAAAAGUUUUUAGUGAGCAAGAGAUGGCAAAUGGAAAUUAACCAUAUCCCAAAAAGGUCAUUGACACACCUUUUUGGGGAAGUUAUAUAUAUUUUUGUGGCAUAUAAAGGCAGGUUGGAGAGGCGCUUGUUUAGUUUGAUCUAGAGUGCCCUGGGAGCAGGUCAUGAGCAUCGGUGACACUGGGAGAGCCAUCUCAAUGGAAUUCACCCCAUAGCGCGUGACAGUGCUCGCUCUUCCCCUCUCUGUCCCUCUCAGCCCUGCCCCCCCCCCCCGCCAGGUUUCAGUAUAUUUGUACAUUCAUACGGCUUUGAAACUGUUCAUAUGCUUCUUAAGAAGCUUGCCAUUUGCUGUUUUUUUGCUAUAGUAGACUCCCAGCUUGUCCCCCCACAUUCCGGGUCCCUCUUCGUGCAUUUUAUCCUGCAUGUCACACCUGUGAUCAUUUUCUUUCCUCUGUUCCCCUUGACCCCCACUCGCAUGCUCGCCCCUUCUCCAGACCAGCCUCUGGGACCAAGGCUGACCUUAGGAUCUAAAGAGGUCCAGUUCAGUACUGACGGAUUCAGUGCUCAGGGUGGUUAUUGCUAAUUUGGUGCUUUCUCGUUGAGAGGUAGUUGUAAUCGUUGUACUGCUUUGUUCCAAUGAUCACUUCCCCACCUUGCACCCCAAUUUGUGUACCUGGGCUACUUUUAUUUCUCUUUGCAGAGUCCUUUGAUCACUCUUAAGCCUACUCGUGAAACUCAGAGGCCGACUCUCUCUGAUGUGUGACAUUUGUGGUGUCUGUCCCCUCUUUGGGGGCAUCUGAUGUAGAAACUCCCUGAGACUAACUUCCUGCCUCUUUAUUACCUGUUGCCUGUCAGGGGUUUAUCUGUUUUCUGCCUACUGAGCUUUCCAUCGCUGCCCACUCUUGGUUUCCCACCUCCCAGUUUCCUGUUCUAAAUCCUUUUCCUUUCCAGGUUCCCACUGCAGGAGCCGCUGGCACUGCCUAAAGGAUGACAAUGGCAGAGGGUGAGAUAUUCUUUAUAAAAACUUCCUGGCGAAGGAAGAAGCCGGCGGAGUGUAGAUGCCAUUAAAUAUAUGAAAUAAAGUAAGGCCAUAGGAAAAAAUAUUGAGAACAUUUUAGCAUUAAGACCUAGAGGGGAGUUCCUGUUGUGGCUCAGUGGGUUAUGCACCUGACUAGUGUCCAUGAAGAUGUGGGGUUGACCCCUGGCCUUGCUCAGUGAGUUAAGGAUCCGGCAUUGCUGCAAGGUAUGGCCAAGGUCAAGGAUGUGGCUCAGAUCUGGCAUUGUUGUGGCUGUGGUGUAGGCAACAGCUGCAGCUCCGAUUCGACCCCUAGCCUGGGAACUUCCAUAUACCACAUGCGUGGCCCUUAAAAAAAAAAAAAAA